AUACAUGCAGUCGAGCGAAUCGAUGGGAGCUUGCUCCCUGAGAUUAGCGGCGGACGGGUGAGUAACACGUGGGCAACCUGCCUAUAAGACUGGGAUAACUUCGGGAAACCGGAGCUAAUACCGGAUACGUUCUUUUCUCGCAUGAGAGAAGAUGGAAAGACGGUUUACGCUGUCACUUAUAGAUGGGCCCGCGGCGCAUUAGCUAGUUGGUGAGGUAAUGGCUCACCAAGGCGACGAUGCGUAGCCGACCUGAGAGGGUGAUCGGCCACACUGGGACUGAGACACGGCCCAGACUCCUACGGGAGGCAGCAGUAGGGAAUCUUCCGCAAUGGACGAAAGUCUGACGGAGCAACGCCGCGUGAACGAAGAAGGCCUUCGGGUCGUAAAGUUCUGUUGUUAGGGAAGAACAAGUACCAGAGUAACUGCUGGUACCUUGACGGUACCUAACCAGAAAGCCACGGCUAACUACGUGCCAGCAGCCGCGGUAAUACGUAGGUGGCAAGCGUUGUCCGGAAUUAUUGGGCGUAAAGCGCGCGCAGGUGGUUCCUUAAGUCUGAUGUGAAAGCCCACGGCUCAACCGUGGAGGGUCAUUGGAAACUGGGGAACUUGAGUGCAGAAGAGGAAAGUGGAAUUCCAAGUGUAGCGGUGAAAUGCGUAGAGAUUUGGAGGAACACCAGUGGCGAAGGCGACUUUCUGGUCUGUAACUGACACUGAGCGCGAAAGCGUGGGGAGCAAACAGAUUAGAUACCCU
rnacentral:rRNA from 2 species